UACGAAGGGGGCUAGCGUUGUUCGGAAUCGCUGGGCGUAAAGGGCGCGUAGGCGGCCGAUCAAGUCGGGGGUGAAAGCCUGUGGCUUAACCACAGAAUGGCCUUCGAUACUGUUUGGCUUGAGACCGGAAGAGGUUAGUGGAACUGCGAGUGUAGAGGUGAAAUUCGUAGAUAUUCGCAAGAACACCAGUGGCGAAGGCGGACUGACUGGUCCGGUUCUGACGCUGAGGCGCGAAAGCGUGGGGAGCAAACAGG
rnacentral:rRNA from 1 species